rnacentral:lncRNA from 1 species
UUUCUCUCUUAUUUUGAAAGGUUUACAUGAAGAGGGAGAAUGCCGGCAACUGGAAUUCUGGCCUGAAAGUGGAGCAAAGUUGAGAUACCUAUUCUACGCAACUCCAAACGCCGUGAAAAUCAACGAGGAUUUUUUUCCGGAUUUAUCAAACAUACUGGGCCGAAGAAGUGCCAGAGGGGCGUCAGGGGUUGGCCACAAGCCUGCACGGCGCGGCCACCCCCCAGGCCGCGCCAUGAGGGCUUGUGGGCAACCUGCUGGCCCACUUUCCCCCCUCUUCUUCUAUAUGAAGGGUUUCGUCUGGAAAAAAAAUCAUGGAGGAGCUUUUUCGUGGAUUCGCUGCCGCCACGAGGCGGAACUUGAGCAGAACCAAUCUAGAGCUCCGGCAGGACGAUCCUGCCGGGGAAACUUCCCUCCCGGAGGGGGAAAUCGUCGUCAUCGUCAUCACCAACACUCCUCUCAUCAGAGGGGACUCGUCACCAUCAACAUCUUCAUCAGCACCAUCUCAUCUCCAAACCCUAGUUCAUCACUUGUAACCAAUCUCCGUCUCAUGACUCCGAUUGAUACUUGUAAGGUUGCUAGUAGUGUUGAUUACUCUUUGUAGUUGAUUCUAGUUGGAUUAUUUUGUGGAAGAGUUUAUGUUCAGAUCCUUGAUGCUACUCAUUACCUCUCUGGUCAUGAAUAUGAUUAUGCUUUGUGAGUAGUUACUUUUGUUCCUGAGGACAUGGGAUAAGUCAUGCUAAUAGUAGUCAUGUGAAUUUGGUAUUCGCUCGGUAAUUUGAUAUGUUGUAUGUUGUUUUUCCUCUAGUGGUGUUAUGUGAACGUCGACUACAUAACACUUCACCAUUAUUUGGGCCUAGAGGAAGGCAUUGGGAAGUAGUAAGUAGAUGACGGGUUUCUAGAGUGACAGAAGCUUAAACCCUAGUUUAUGCGUUGCUUCAUAAGGGGCUGAUUUGGAUCCACUAGUUUAAUGUUAUGGUUAGACUUUGUCUUAAUUCUUCUUUCGUAGUUGCGGAUGCUUUCGAGAGGGGUUAAUCAUAAGUGGGAUGCUUGUCCAAGUAAGGACAGUACCCAAGCGCUGGUCCACCCAGAUAUCAAACUAUCAAAGUAACGAACGCGAAUCAUAUGAACAUGAUGAAAACUAGCAUGACAGAAAUUCCCGUGUCUCCUCAGGACCGUUUUUUCCUCCUAUAAGACUUUGUCCAGGCUUGUCCCUUGCUACAAAAGGGAUUGGGCCACUUUGCUGCACGGUUUCUACUUUUGUUACUUGUUGCUCGCUACGAAUCAUCUCACCACACAAACGCUUGUUACCAACGAUUUUAGUGCGUGCAGAUUUUACCUUGUUGAAAACCACUUGUGAGAUCCUUCUGCUCCUCGUUGGGUUCGACACUCUUACUUAUCGAAAGUACUACGAUUGAUCCCCUAUACUUGUGGGUCAUCAUAGGCUGCAUGGAGCCACCAGGCCAACCUCUCACCAACGAUGCCACCCUAGGGGUACACACCCUCGCCUGGCUACUCCGACGACGACGCACAUGUUUCAACCCCAACACCACCUUCCCGCAUGGCACGCCGCAGCGUUCCUCCCCCAUCAGCUUCAUCCACAACCCGCGCACUCCCUCCACCGUGUUCAACGCCGGCCUCAACACCCAGUACAGCUACUCGCCGCUAGCGUACUCGUCAGCCUCGCCUACGUCUCCUCUGCAUCAUGGUGCCCUUCCAUUCAUGCCCGGUUCAGCGCUACAGUUUAGCCACAUCAAUGCCGACAUGGACGAGAUCAUGAAGAGCGGCUCCGUCGCCGCCACGUCCUACCUGGGAUUCGGCGUUCAGGAUGAAACAAGGGACACCGCCGGCGACAUUGAUGAUGAGCUCCACGAUGCCGAGGAGGAGGGGGAGUAAGAGCAGGUGGAGGUGGAACCAGAACCAGCGCCGAAGAGGAGGGGGAAGAAGAAGCUGACGUCGAAUGCCAAGCCAGCCAAACCCCACAUCAAGUGGACGUCCAAGGAAGACGAGUGCCUUGUCGAAGCGUGGAAGACCGUCAUCAUCGAUCCAAUCACCGUCGUGAAUCAAAACACCAACACAUACCGGGGGAGAAUCAAGACGGCGUUUGACAAACGCAAGCUGGUCGACCCCGACUUCGUCAACAUCCACAUGGACCAUGGCGAGAAGGCCAUGUCGAACCACUGGUCGACGAUCCAGACGGCCUGCAACAAGUGGCAUGGGAUCAUUGAGGAGGUCGCUGCUCGCCUUGAAAGCUGUGCCAACGUCGAGGGUCACGUAUGGACAUAGUUCGCCGGCCCCGGUUCGUCGUGUCGCCGUGUACUUUGCCGACAUGUUUUGUUCGCAAUUAUGCAGAUGGUUCAGAUGUUCGCCAUGUAUCUCCAAGACAACGAGGACCAAGAGUUCAAGUUCCUUCACGUGUUCUCCAGGAUCGUGUCGUGUGAGAAGUGGAGGGAAGUUCGGCUCGCUCGCAACAAGGCCAAGGAGACCUACAACCCAGACGCGCUUGUCACGGCUGCGGCAGAAGGGCACCCCAAUGGCACCAAAAAUGCCAGGGCACGACGCCCGCUGCCGAACGGCUGCAAUCAUCGAUCGAGCAAUGCAUCACCGACGCUAAAAGCAGUGCUGCCAGGAGGGAGGAGAAAUCCGACGCGUGGUAGACGACGUUGAUGACGAACUAGCACGUCAAGCUCGGCCUUCUUAGGACCAACGUCAUUACAAAGAAGAGGAAUACCGACCUAGCGUUCUUGAUGGGGGCAGACACAUCAACGAUGGACAAGCAGGUGAAGGUGUGGUACCUUGUGAAGCGCGACCUCAUCUUAAACCAGAUGCCCGCACCGGCGGCGACCACAACGGUGACGACGGCAACGCCCAUCCCGAACGCAGAAACCACGCCGACGAAGAGCCCGGCCGCGGCCAGUCUCGUGACAGAGGAUCUGCACUAUGUUGAGCCGGACGUUUGUUUCAUUUCAUACCUAUUGCCCCUUCCUUUUGACCGCCAAACUAUUGGGUGUGUUCGAUCGCUGAACUAUGGCAUUGCUGAUCGUCGACUUGUGGCAUGAUGAUCAUCAAACUCGUGGUGUAUUUUUGGCAGCGGGAAAGACAAAUUUGAAAUAGUUGGCGUGUGGGGGCAGAAACCUGGGGGUGUGUUUGGAAACUCGCUCACCCCCAGGGCGAAAAAGCGUCGGCGCAACGCCAAAAAGGCAUUCGACGGGUGCGCUCGGGGCCAAACGACUGGAGUUGCUCUCAGAAGAGCUGGUUGAUAGUGUUGAGUAAAUAGGCAAUUUUUCGAGUAGAUUAAUCCACGAGAUAAUAACUAGCACGGUAUUGACUAGAAUAAUUUCAUAUUGAUCAUGAACUAAUCUAGCACAUACUACGCAUAUAGUUGAUACAUCUAUGCAUGCAAGUAGUACUGCUAGGAACGAAACGAACAAGAGUGGGAUAAAUAUGUUAUACCCUCCGGUUGGCCACUUGGCCGUAGCAGCAGCAUUGGCGGCGGUAGCAUCCUCUGCCGCCUUCUUCUCAGCUUCAAGGGCGAGACGAUCGACCUCGGAUGGUUCAGCCAUGGUGAUGACAAGGACGACGUGGAUGUAGAGGAAGCAAACGGACGGAGGCGAGUAGCCGCGUGAUUGCUCCCCAAAAACCUAAUCGCCCCUCUCCCGUACAGGAACCGGUGAGGCGGGGUUUCGAAGGCCUGCUAUCCCGUCGACCGUGUACGCGGUGAACGGGACGGAGUCGUCGGCGGCAGCAACAGCAAAGGAACGAGCGCGUGAGGCAGAGGCGAUCUAAUCUCGUGACGGCUAGGGUUGGCGUUAGCUCUACUUAUAUAGGCGGCCGGGCGAAGAGACGUGGGCUGAACCCACGGCCGAGUCGGUAACAGCCCACGAUCCACGUCUCAGAUCAUGGCGCGUCCGUUACGUAUUCUCCGAUCCUGACCGGCGAAAAUAAGCGCGUAGGUAUGAGAUCGGCUCAGCUCAUUCCCGCAACCCGCGGCGCGUCGUGACGAGGCGUGGAGUGGCUUGGCGAGGCGGGCUGCGGAGGAGUGCGCGAGGGCCUCUUCUCUUCUCACUCUCCAAUAGCAUGUACAAGAGAGACCCUUAUAAAGGGGUCUGAUGACCCACAAGUGUAGGGGAUCUAUCGUAGUCCUUUCGAUAGGUAAUAGUGUUGAACCCAACGAGGAGCAGAAGGAACUGACAAGUGGUUUUCAGCAAGGUAUUCUCUGCAGGCACUAAAAUUAUCGGUAACAGAUAGUUGUGUGAUAAGAUAAUUCAUAACGAGUAGCAAGUAACAAUAGUAACAAAGGUGCAGCAAGAUGGCCCAAUCCCUUUUGUAGCAAGGGACAAGCCUGGAUGAACUCUUAUAUGAGGUAAAGUGUUCCCGAGGACACAUGGGAAUUUCUGUCAAGCUAGUUUUCAUCAUGUUCAUAUGAUUCGCGUUCGCUACUUUGAUAGUUUGAUAUGUGGGUGGACCGGUGCUUGGGUGUUGUCCUUACUUGGACAAACAUCCCACUUAUGAUUAACCCCUCUCGCAAGCAUCAGCAACUACGAAAGAAGAAUUAAGACUAAGUCUAACCAUAGCAUUAAAUUAGUGGAUCCAAAUCAGCCCCUUACGAAUCAACACGUAAACUAGGGUUUAAGCUUCUGUCGCUCUAGCAACCCAUCAUCUACUUAUUACUUCCCAAUGCCUUCCUCUAGUCCCAAAUAAUGGUGAAGUGUCAUGUAGUCGACGUUCACAUAACACCACUAGAGGAAAGACAACAUACAACGCAUAAAAAUAUCGAACGAAUACCAAAUUCACAUGACUACUUAUAGCAAGACUUAUCCCAUGUCCUCAGGAACAAAAGUGACUACUCACAAAGCAUAAUUAUGUUCAUGAUCAGAGAGGUAUUGAAUAGCAUUAAGGAUCUGAACAUAUGAUCUUCCACCGAGUAAUCCAAGUAGCAUCAACUACAAAAAGUAAUUAACACUACUAGCAACCUUACAAGUACCAAUCGGAGUCGCGAGACGGAGAUGGUUACAAGAGAUGAACUAGGCUUUGGAGAUGAGAUGGUGCUGAUGAAGAUGUUGAUGGAGAUGAGUCCCCUCCGAUGAGAGGAGUGUUGGUGAUGACGAUGGUGACGAUUUCCCCCUCCGGGAGCGAAGUUUCCACGGCAGGACGGCCCUGCCGGAGCUCUAGAUUGAUUGUGCUCAAGUUCUGCCUCGUGGCGGCGGUGAUUCCUCCCGAAAGCCUCCUCCUGAUUUUUUCUGGGACGAAACCCUCCUCAUAGCAAAAGAUGGGAGCCGGAGGGGCAACAGGGGGCCCACAAGCCACCGAGGCGCGCGCCAAGGGGUAGGUCGUGCCUGGCAGGCUUGUGGCCUCCGGGUGGCUCCCCUCCGGUACUUCUUCCACCCAGUAUUUUUUAUAAAAUCCAAAAUAAUUCCUCGUUGUUUUUUCACGGCUUUUGGAGUUGUGCAGAAUAGGCAUCUCAAACUUGCUCCUUUUCCAGCCCAGAAUUCCAGCUGCCGGCAUUCUCACUCUUCAUGUAAACCUUAUAAAAUAAGAGAGAAAAGGCAUAAGUAUUGUACCGUAAAGUGUAAUAACAGCCCAUAAAGCGAUAAAUAUCAACAUAAAAGUAUGAUGCAAAAUGGACGUAUCUACUCCCCCAAGCUUAGACCUUGCUUGUCCUCAAGCGGAAGCCGAGAUCAAUAAAUAUGCCCACAUGUUUAGAGAUAGAGGUGUCGAUACAACAAAAUACGGACAUGCAGGCAUCAUGAUCAUAUUUAGAACAACAAUAUCGUCAUAUAAUCUCUUAUGCUAAAGUGACAAUUCCUUCACAAAGUAAAGUAUGGAUCAAGAACCUUAUUGAGAAUUAACAACCAAUAGCCUUUAGUCAUUGAAGCAAUUGCAAUUUAUCAUAAAAUCAGAAAGAGGCAAAUAUGAUCUUGUAAAGCAAAUUCACAUACUCAAUCAUCCUUUCGUCUUCUACAAUUGCUAAAACUCACGUGGUACUCAUGAGAUCAAAGUUUCAGUUGGACACAGAGAAAGAUAGGGGCUUAUAGUUUCGCCUCCCAACUAUUUACCUCAAGGGUAAUGUCAACAAUAACAAUUCAUGAAUACUUACUUCCAAGUUUACAUAUGAAUAUAGAUCUUUCCCUAGCACAUGACGCUUGCCAAGAUAAUGGCGAAAUAAGGAAUUGGUGUCGAUCACCACGACUCUUUUAAGGAUAAAAAGUAAAGGUACAAGAUAGGCCCUUCGCAGAGGGAAGAAGAGGUUGUCAUGCACUUUUGCGGUUUGUAUGUGUGACCUCUUAGUGUGAAGGAACGUCACUUUAUAUUGCCUCCUGUGAUAAAGAACUUUAUUAUGCAGUCUUGAAAAGGAUCGAGAUGGACCUAGAGGGGGGUGAAUAGGUACAAAUCCAAAUUUUAAUAAUUACUUAGCAAUUUUAGGCAAAAGUGCGGAAUAUGAGUGUAAGCCUAAUAAUUGCUACGACAAGGAGUAAGCUAUUUAGAGUGAAGUAAGACAAGCGGUAAACAAUAAUCAAAUACAAGUACGUAAUAAGGAUUAACACAAGUAGAGAGUUAGGGUUAGGAAUAACCGGAACUCCAAGAGAGACAAGGAUGUAUCCCGAUGUUCACUUCCUUGGAGGGAAGCUACAUCACCGUUAGAGGGGCGGAUGUUACCACGAAGGCACACCAACGCCACGAAGGCUCACCUUAUUCUCCCUUUGAGAUAACUCCACGAAGGCAUUUCUCAACCACUAGUGGUAAGCCUUGAGGUGGCUUCCAAACCUUCACAAACUUUCCGGGGGAUAUCACAAUGGUUUGAUUCCUCUCCAAAGACUCCUACCGCCUAGGAGUCUCCAACCUCCAAGAGUAACAAGAUCACGGGGAUUGCUCAAAACUUGUUCAAAUCACAAAUCACUUUGGUGGGAAGGAGGAGAGGGAGACGAUCUAUCUUUUGAUUGGAACAACACUCAAAGGGACUCACAAAUGCUCUUGGGAUCUAGGAUUUGGUGUAGACAAGAGUGAGUGAGAGUAAAGGUGUUCUUGGGUGUAUUCUAGCUGUGUUGAACACCCUUUCACGAGGUGGGAGAAGAGUAUAUAUAGUGGGGAGUGAAAUACAGCCGUUGGGACACUUUAAGUCACACAGGGUCCAGACGUCCGACAGUUGCCGGAAGUCCGGGCGUCCGCGAGGGGUCGGACGUCCGACAGGGGUCGGUCGUCCGAGGCCUGUAGAUACGACUAAAGCUGUUUUGAAUUGAACAGCGACCAGACGUCCGGAGAGGACUAGAAAUCCGAGUUAUACGACUCAACUUCUUCUGGUGGUAGGUUCCGGAUUUCCAAAGGGUGUCGGACGUCCGGCCCUCGGACGUCCGGAGGGAGCCGGAAAUCCGAGUUAUAGAACUCAACUUCUACUCGUGCAGGGUUCCGGAUUUCCGGGGCUGGUCGGACGUCCGANGAGUGAGAGUAAAGGUGUUCUUGGGUGUAUUCUAGCUGUGUUGAACACCCUUUCACGAGGUGGGAGAAGAGUAUAUAUAGUGGGGAGUGAAAUACAGCCGUUGGGACACUUUAAGUCACACAGGGUCCAGACGUCCGACAGUUGCCGGAAGUCCGGGCGUCCGCGAGGGGUCGGACGUCCGACAGGGGUCGGUCGUCCGAGGCCUGUAGAUACGACUAAAGCUGUUUUGAAUUGAACAGCGACCAGACGUCCGGAGAGGACUAGAAAUCCGAGUUAUACGACUCAACUUCUUCUGGUGGUAGGUUCCGGAUUUCCAAAGGGUGUCGGACGUCCGGCCCUCGGACGUCCGGAGGGAGCCGGAAAUCCGAGUUAUAGAACUCAACUUCUACUCGUGCAGGGUUCCGGAUUUCCGGGGCUGGUCGGACGUCCGACCCUUGGUUGUCCGGAGGUAGCCGGAUUUCCGAGUUAUAUGACUCACAAACUUCUGGUGAAGGGCUGCGGAUUUCCGAAGCCUGUCGGUCGUCCGGCCCUCGGACGUCCGGAGGGAGCCGGAUGUACGAGGCUAUAGACUUGUUUUGAUAUAAGAAUAGAGUGGAGAAUAUGUGGUAUUUGGAAUGACAAUAAAGAUGUGGUAUGAGCAAGUUCAUCGCAAAACAUGUGAUCCCCUCUUAAUAGUGCGGGAUCCCUAUACUCAAUAUCAGUAAACUCAAAAGACCAGUCUUCAUCAUCUUUUCUUAAUCCCGAGCCUUCUCGAAAUAUAAAUCCCCAAUCUUCUCAGACAACCUUUGGCACAUAAUUCUCAAUCUACUAAAGUACUUGCCAUCCUGAGAUACACUCAACAAAUAGGAUUAGUUUCCUAUGUAUGUGUUGUCAUUAACACCAAAAGACGAUUAGGGGCAUAGCAUGCACUUUCAAUCUCCCCCUUUUUGGUAGUUGAUGACAACAUAUACAUAGGUCUCAAAAAGAUUUAACAUACAUUAUAGUCUAGGAGAUAUUUAGUACGGAGCUCCCCCUUAGUAUAUGCAUGAUAAAAUCAUCGAAGCUCCAAUGGAUCAACAUGUAAAGAUAAUAGAUCAUCAUAGAAGUAGUGGAGCAAAACAUAAUAGUCUAUGAUGAUAUCAUAGCAAUCCAUAGCAAAUCACAAUCAUUCAUAAGUAUCCAUACAUGAGUUUGAGUUUAUCCAUUACAUUAAAUCUCCAAAGACUAAAAACUACGAUACAUUACUCCCGCUUUGGCACCAAGUACCAAAAAGGGAGCCAUCAACAGUACCAAUCACGCUCAGAGCUCAUCACCAUCAUCAUCAGCAUCAUCAGGCAAGCCACUGCCACCAGCCUCGUCAAGGAAAUCAGACCACUCAGGACCAGAUGGGAAACCAAAAUAAGUAGGAGGAGCAGCAGGAGGGGCCUCAUCAUCACUCACAUCAAGAGCGCCCGAGGCUCUCAGACGAGCCUUGAGGGCAUUCUUGGAGGAGACUAAGCAAGAAACCACAUCAUGGGUUUGACCACACUGGAAAGAGACGGCCUUCAUCAAAGCAGAAUGUGCCUUGCCAAGGAAUUUGGCAAUUCGACCGAGAGGAGCGGAGCUAGAUGAGGGGGUGGCGGCCCGUGCAGCAGUGCGGCGAGUGGAUGUGGAGGACGAGGGGGCUUUCUUGGGAGCAUAGUCAUCCGCCAUGUGAGCGGGAAUGACCCACUUGCGAUGUGUGUGAGUGACAGCCACAGAGAAAUCAGCAACAUGGUUAAUAAGAGCCUGGAUGAAAGGGGCGUGAGGAAAGGCUCGCUUGUACUGAAAGCUAGCAAGCCGAAUCUCAUGCCAUAGAAAAUGAGGCACAUUGAUUUUGCUCUUGGGGUGCUCGAACAAGUGAGACAUGAUGUCGAUACAAUAGCCACUGCAAGAACCCUUAUCACCCAUCUUGGGAUAGAUGGUGCGGAUGAGACACUGAAAAAUGAUGAAGUAAGGUGACCGCCAGAUGGAUACCUGGUUAAGGUCCUUCAUGCGUUCAUCCGCAUCAAGCUUAGUUAGUGGCUUGAGAAGAUACCCACAUGCGUCAAUGGACUUAGGCGCAUGGUUAGGAUCAUCCCUAUGUAUUUUGAAACCGGAAUUGGGGAAACCAAGUGCGGCAACAAAUGUAUCAUAAGAAGCUGUGAAGCGAAUGUCGGAGGUGAUCCAGCUGACAGUGUGGUUUGGACCAAAGUGACAUGUGGCAUAGAACUGGUGAAUGGCAGCAACAUUAAAGUCGCAAUGAAAGGCAAACGGGGCGGCAAGCCCCGAUGCCUCAAUAAGCUCAAUGGCACCCGGAUAUUUCGUCGGGUGCAUGCGAAUAUGCUCAACAUCAAUAUAGAGAUGAUUAGAUAACCCCUUAGGAACUAUGACAGUGGUAAAAAUGCCCGCCUGGACGUGUGUGCGAAAACGUGAGUCCAUAGAGUCACGUACGACAGCGUAUUGAUCAAUGUCGCGGCGGAAAGUGAGAUAUGAAGCUGCGUCAAGUGUGGUGAAGUUUGUGAUUGCACGACCUAAAGUGGCAGGAGGUUCUAGUGAGAUGCGGCGAGCUUCACCUGCGGGCUGGGCAGGAGGAGUUUGUGGCAUGUAUGACGCCCUGCGAGUCCCGGUCUUUGGCUUGGACCUACGAUCGACGUGCUGGCCAGGAAGGUCCUCGGCGGCAAGCUCCUCCUCGAAGUCAGAGUCAUCACCAUCGGACGACGAGGGGCGUUGUGGAGACGGAGAACGCCGGGCCGGAGAACGCCGGGCAGUCCGUUUGAAGGGACGACGGGGCUCAUCCGAUUCCGACCCCGUGCUAGCAGGGGCGCGAGAUGAUGAGCCAGCCACGCUCUUCCGAGCGAUGUGCUUGGUCUUGCCCAUGUAGCACAAAAACCUACGCGGAUGAAAAAUCCCCAAAUGAGGAAUGAACAUGGAGAUUCAUGGGAGAGGGAGAAAACCAAAACAAACGCGAAAGGAGACGGACGAGCGACCUGAGGACGGAUUCCACGGAGGAGAUCGGCCCGAUCUCGAGUUUGGCGGCACAGGCAGGAGCUCCUCGAGCUGGCGGCGGCGGCUGUGGUAGGGAAAAGGGGCGCUGAGGGUUAGGGCAAGAGCCCAGCCCCCGCACCCAGCUAUAUAUAUAGGCCCGAGGCGUCGGACGUCCGACAGGCGUUGGACGUCCGGAGGUGAUUGUGGCGUCGGACGACCGGAAGGGAAUUUGCCGCCGGACGUCCGAGACAUGACGGACGUCCGAGAGGGAGGAGGAGGCAGAGGCUGAUUCUGGAUUUUUUUGUUUUGAUGGUGAGAUGAUGACUUGCAUGGUUUCUCACAAAAAAAAUACGUACAUAGUAGCCUACAAGCAUUACAUGUACUACUUGGGGACAGAAAUUGAUUUAUGCAUACAUUGUAAGCUUUAAAAACAGAAAAUUUAGACUCACUCCCCCUAAAUGCAUGCCCACAUCAAGACACGAACAUAAUGUGAGUGUGUGUAUGUGUGCACGGUUUCAAGAUAUGUUGUCAAGCUCCAAGAUACCAAGUUCACGCCUAAGUUGACAGAACCUAGCAACGCUAAGUGGCUUGGUGAAGAUGUCGGCUAACUGCAUGUCGGUACCCACAUGGGUAAUAUCAAUGUCACCCUUUUGCACAUGGUCUCUCAAGAAAUGAUACCUAAUAUCAAUAUGUUUUGUGCGAGGGUGAUCAAUGGGGUUCUCGGAGAUCUUUAUGGCACUUUCAUUAUCACAGAGAAGAGGAACGUGUCGAUACGUGAUACCAUAAUCCUUUAGUGUUUGACUCAUCCAUAGCAGUUGGGUUGCACAGCUUGCGGUGGCAAUAUAUUCGGCCUCGGCCGUGGAGAGAGAAACACAGUUCUGCUUUUUUGAGGACCAACUUACCAAGGAGUGUCCAAGAAACUGACAUGCACCAGAAGUGGAUUUCCGCCCCACUUUAUCACCGGCCCAAUCCGCAUCGGAAUACCCAAUAAGAUCAAACUUUGCAUCCUUAGGGUACCAUAAGCCUAACUUUGGGGUGUGAACAAGGUAUCUAAUAAUAUGCUUAACCGCCGUGUGAUGGCUUUCCCUAGGGGGAGCUUGAAAUCUAGCACAUAUGCCUACACUUAACAUGAUGUCCGGUAUAGAUGCACAAAGAUAAAGUAGCGAACCAAUCAUGGAGCGGUAAGUAGAUGGGUCAAAAGGAAUACCGUUUGUGUCUUCAUUUAGAACUACAUCGGUGGCCAUGGGUGUCUUCAUUGGUUUAGCAUUCGUCAUAUCAAUUUUUUCAAGAAUGUCCUUGAGGUACUUAGUUUGAGACAAGAAAAUCCCUUCUUGAAAUUGUUGUAUUUGAAAACCAAGAAAGAACUUCAAGUCCGUGUUGAGUGACAUCUCAAAGGUCUUGGUCAUGGAGGCCGCAAACUUCUUGCAUAAAUGGAUGUUAGGAGAACCAAAAAUGAUGUCAUCUACAUAGAUUUGGCAUAAGAUCAAAUCACCAUUUUCCCUCUUAGUAAAAAGAGUGGGAUCGAUCACCCCCACCACAAAGCCAUCAUCGAGUAGGAACUUCUUAAGAUGAUCGUACCAAGCACGGGGUGCUUGUUUGAGGCCAUACAGAGCCUUGUGAAGUUUAUAUACAUGGUCUUUGUGGUGAGGGUCAACAAACCCAGGUGGUUGUGAUACAUAUACCUCUUCUUGUAGAGGACCGUUAAGAAAAGCACUUUUCACAUCCAUUUGAUGCAAAGUAAAACCAUUGAAAGCAGCAUAGGCCAAUAAAAUGCGAAUGGACUCAAGACGAGCAACAGGGGCGAAAGUUUCACCAAAGUCCAAACCUUCAACUUGGGAAUACCCCUGUGCUACUAACCUUGCCUUGUUGCGUAGGACAGUCCCAUUCUCAUCUUCCUUGUUCUUGAAAAUCCAUUUAGUUCCAAUGAAAUUAUGUCCCUCAGUUGGUUGUUCUACCAAUGACCACACUUCGUUGCGUGUAAAGCUGUUUAGCUCCUCUUGCAUAGCAAGGAGCCAGUCAUUGUCACACAAUGCAUCCUGAACCCUGUGUGGCACGGUACUAGAGACAAACGAAAAGUGAGCACAAAAGUUUGUUAAUUGUUUACGAGUCACUCUACCUUCCGACACGCCGGUGAGGAUUUGAUCAAUAUCAACACGACCAGCCACACGUGGCAUGAUGGAGGUCAAGGUUUCACGAGGUUCAACUUCGUUUCCAUCAUCAACGUCCUCAGCAUAUGGAUCAUUUAUGUGCGGAGGAAGAUAUUCCUCUUCGUGUUGCACCUGUUGAGGUUCAUCAUCAAACAUACCCAUACUUUGGUCUACCUCUUGAAGAUCCACUUGUUCUUGAGUCUGAUCAGGGUGAGAGACAUGUUCUCCCACUUGAUCCUCAACAACUGGCAUGAUGUGUGUGCUAGUAUCUUGUGGAGGUACGGGCAGUGAACUGUCUUGAAGAUGAGAAAUACUCUCAUCAUCUUCAUCAUCAUCAUGGGGUCUUUGUUCCAUGGGAAGAAGUGCACCUACACCCAUGUUUAGGAUAUCUUGUGGGGAGUCUUCUUCACCUGCAUCAUUUAGAUCAACUUGCUCCCCAUGGGAGCGGUUAAAUUCAUCAAACGUCACGUCACAGGUUUCUAUAACACAUCCAGUGGAUUUGUUGUAGACUCUGUAGGCGUGAGAGUUUGACCCAUAGCCAACAAAAAUCCCUUCAGUUGUUUUGGAUUGAAAUUUUCCUAACCGUUCCCGUUUGUUGAGAAUGAAACAUUUGCAUCCAAACACAUGAAAGUACUUAACAUUGGGCUUGUUCCCAGUUAGGAUCUCAUAUGGAGUCUUCUCCAAUAUUGAUCGAAGGAAGAGCCGGUUUGAUGCAUGACAUGCUGUGUUGACGGCCUCAGCCCAAAAACUAUGUGGUGACUUGUAUUCGUCUAACAUGGACCUUGCCAUUUCCACAAGUGUACGGUUCUUCCUCUCUGCCACACCAUUUUGUUGAGGGGUGUAAGGUGCGGAGUACUGAUGUUCAAUUCCCUCAUCACUAAGAAAUUCUUCUAGGGUGUAGAUCUUGAACUCAGAGCCAUUAUCACUUCUUACUGCCUUGAUGUCCUUGUCAAACUUCUGUUGGGCUUGUUUGGCAAAGUCAAUGAAGGUGAUCUUCGUCUCGUCCUUGGACUUGAGAAAGAACACCCAUGUAUAUCUUGAGUAAUCAUCAACAAUGACUAGGCCAUACUUUUCCCUCCAAGACUUGCCCAUGAAGGAGGCCCAAACAGAUCCACAUGAAGGAGCUCUAACGGCCUCGAAGUGGAUACAAUGUUCUUGGGUGGAUGUCUUGAUUGAUGUUGUUUCCCAGCUAUGCAUGCACUGCACACACGAUCUUUCUUAAAAGAUACAUUUGUUAGUCCAAGGAUGUGAUUGCCGUUUAAGAGAUUUUGAAGAUUUUUCAUGCCAACAUGGGCGAGCCGGCGAUGCCACAGCCAUCCCAUGUCGGCCUUGGCCAUUAGACAAGUUGUAUAGAAGGUGCUCUCUUUCGAGAAGUCAACCGUCUAAAGGUUGCCAUCCAACUCUCCAACAAAGGCCACUUCAAGAGUGUCUCUCUUAAAGACUUUCACAUCCGUUAGUCCAAAUAAUGUGUCAUAACCGACGGAAGCCAAUUGGCAAACUGAAAGUAAAUGAUAUUGAAGAGAUUGGACAAGCAUGACAUUUGCAAUAGACAUGUAAUUUGUGAUUGCCACCUUGCCCAACCCAAUUACAUGCCCUUUCGACCCUCCACCAAAUACAAUGCUCAUGUAUGGUCGAAUGGCUUGCAUGAAGUCAUAGAGCAAGUUACUAUCUCCGGUCAUAUGAUUGGUGCAUCCACUGUCGAUCACCCAUUUGGCUCCUCCGGAGAAAACAGCCUGUAACGAAUUAAGACUUGGUUUGAGGUACCCAUUUUGUCAUGGGGCCUUUCACAUUAGUUAUAAGAGUCUUAGGGACCCAAAUAGCAUAGAACCGGAAUGCAUUACGAGGACCAACGAAUUUAGCAUAGACCUCUCCUUCCUUUGAUUUGCGUAGUACAUAGGAUGGAGGCAUGAAUUCGGUUGUCUUGUUGUGAGUAAACGAACCCCUAGUGGCCGAUCCACUCACAACCUUACCUUUCUCUAUGUGUCCCUCUCGUACAAAUAUUCCUUUAAGCGGAGUGGUACACUUGAGAGGAGAUGCACUUAUCUUGGCAGUGCUUGGGUUGAACCCAAGCCCUUCCUUGGCGAAGCCUCCAUUGUGUCGACUUAAGAUCUCAUUGAGAGUCUUUUGUCCUUGUGCACAUGUCAUGAGACCUCUGUCUAGCUGUGCCUUUAGCAAACAGUUUUCCUCAAGGAUAGAUGUCAGUUCACUACUAGAGUUAGUAGUGCAGGUAUCAACAUUAAUAAUAGGUGAGGAGUAGGCCUUAGCUAGAGUGUCAAGAUAAGUGACCUUAAGUGCCUCAAAGCUCUUUGUAAGAACAGUAAGUUUCUCUUCCUUGUCUUUGAGAGACAAGGAUAGACGCUCACAGUCCUUAGAAAGGGAAGCAUGAGAGUUCACAAGUCGGUCUUUAUCAUUUAGUAAUUCUUUGCACACAGAUUCAGCCUUUUUCAAGGAGGCAAGAUCAUUAGCAUGUUUAUCAAGGUUUUCACCUACUUUUGAACAUAGUGCAUCAUUUUGUGCUUCCUCAUACAAGACUUUCUACUCAAGGAUUUUAUUUCUUUCCUUCUCCUCAGUGACGAGGGUUUCGAGUUCCUUGAUGGUAUUGGUGUGCUUACUCACCAUUUCCAUAAGUAUGCGAAACAUAGUGAGCUUCUUUCCUUUAAGAGAGCACAUAAAUUUGUUUAUUUUAGCAAACAUGGGAUGAUCUAAGUCAUUAUCCUCAUAGGGAUCUUCCGCAUCAAGAUACUCAUCAGAUGGAGUAGAAGCUAGACUGAAAGAGUUUAACCGUGGAGUUACCUUAACCUUAUCAUGGGAGCUUUGGUCUUCCUCAUCUCCCAUGGCAGUCUUUGCCAUCAAACACUUGUGAGCGUUGCCCUUGUAGUCCUUCAUAUAGUUGUAGUGAACAACAUCACCACUUUUGUUGACUAGCCUGAGGGUGCUUUGUGUAUCCUGAGCUACUCCGGCAACUCCACCAACAUCUUCUGGAUCUGAUUCUUCUUGUGCAACCAUUGCUCUUCCAUUUGUCCUCUUGAACUUGGAGUUCAUAGGGUUUGGAAACUUCUUCUUUACAAAGGUCUUUGGAAACCUUGGUUUGUCUUCUCUCUUCUCAUAAGGGCAGUCAUUGGAGAAGUGGUUGGUUUCCUCACAGUUAUAGCAUUUCCUUACCUUCUUCUUUGGGAAUCUUCCCUUGAACUUUCCUGCACUGAACUUCUUUACAAAGAGAGCAAUGUCCUCAUAAGACGGGAUUUCAUCAGAGUCAACAUCAUCACCAUCUUCGCAGUCAUCAUCACCCUCUUCUUCUUCAUUUUCUUCUUCGUCACAUUCAUGCUUGGCUUUCAAAGCAAGAUUGAUCUUUGAUGUUGAAGUGCCAUGCAUGGCAAGGUGCUUUGUUGCAUUUGCCUUGGACUCUUCAAAUAAUUGGAAGGUGGAUAUGAUGUCAUCUGGAGUCAUUUCUUUGAACCCAUGGUGCUGCCUCAUGUCCCAUACCAUUUGAUGGUGAUACGGAGCAAGAGCGUGAAGUAACUUGUCCACAAGAAAUCUCUUGGUCAGAUUGAAGCCAUCUUGCGUCUGGUCACAGUCACAUGACUCAAUGUCUGCGGCGAGAGUCAUGAGCUGUUCUAGUAGUUGCUUGGGAGAUUCAACCUUUUCCAUACACAAAUUCUGUAAUUGCCCCUUGGCAAUUUCAUAUUGAGCAAGCCAAAGAGUGGAGGUACUGGUCUUGGUCCUUAUGAUGCUAUCCCACAGUUCCUUGGCACUUGUGAUGUGAAUGUAAGGUCUUCGUUGCUUGUCAUUCAUUCCUUUUCUUAUGCAGAUGAUCACAGUGUCAUUGAGAUGGUUGUCAUAAGUUUCUCUGGGCGUGAGGCACCUUGGAUCUACAGGAUUGUACCCAUGCUCGAGGAUGUCCAACAUCUCAUCAUUGGCGUACCUAAGAUGAUCCUGCAUACCAACUCUCCACAAAGCAAAAUCGGAAUUGUCAUCAAGCAAGGGAGGUUUCCCUCCAGGAUUGUACUUAGGUUUCUCAAUUUGAGAUCUAGCAUAAAGCCAUGGAACACUGGUUUGGUUCCUCUCCGGAGGUGGUUGGCCAAAUGAAGUACCGUGCCCAUGUGGCCCUGAGGCCCUCGGGGACGUGGUUGUCCCCGUGGUUAGUGAUGCUAGUCUCAUUUGGACCAUGGCCUCAAGAUAAGCAUCAUGCUCCUCUUUUUUCUUGGCAAGGGCCCGUUCCAGGUCCUCAGAGGUGAAAGACUUGACUUCCGAGGAAGUCCCUUACCUCUGCACUGGAGCUACCGUAGCUGGUUCCCCGUCCAUCUCGCUCUAGGGCGGUUAAGCCACACGAAUAGAGCACGAGGCUAUGAUACCAAUUGAAAAGGAUCGAGAUGGACCUAUAGGGGGGGGUGAAUAGGUACAAAUCCAAAUUUUAAUAAUUACUUAGCAAUUUUAGGCAAAAGUGCGGAAUAUGAGUGUAAGCCUAAUAAUUGCUACGACAAGGAGUAAGCUAUUUAGAGUGAAGUAAGACAAGCGGUAAACAAUAAUCAAAUAGAAGUAUGUAAUAGGGAUUAACACAAGUAGAGAGUUAGGGUUAGGAAUAACCGAAACUCCAAGAGAGACAAGGAUGUAUCCCGAUGUUCACUUCCUUGGAGGGAAGCUACGUCACCGUUAGAGGGGCGGAUGUUACCACGAAGGCACACCAACGCCACGAAGGCUCACCCUAUUCUCCCUUUGAGAUAACUCCACGAAAGCGUUUCUCAACCACUAGUGGUAAGCCUUGAGGUGGCUUCCAAACCUUCACAAACUUUCUGGGGGAUAUCACAAUGGUUUGAUUCCUCUCCGAAGACUCCUACCGCCUAGGAGUCUCCAACCUCCAAGAGUAACAAGAUCACGGGGAUUUCUCAAAACUUUCUCAAAUCACAAAUCACUUUGGUGGGAAGGAGGAGAGGGAGACGAUCUAUAUUUUGAUUGGAACAACACUCAAAGGGACUCACAAAUGCUCUUGGGAUCUAGGAUUUGGUGUAGACAAGAGUGAGUGAGAGUAAAGGUGUUCUUGGGUGUAUUCUAGCUGUGUUGAACACCCUUUCACGAGGUGGGAGAAGAGUAUAUAUAGUGGGGAGUGAAAUACAGCCGUUGGGACACUUUAAGUCACACAGGGUCCAGACGUCCGACAGUUGCCGGAAGUCCGGGCGUCCGCGAGGGGUCGGACGUCCGACAGGGGUCGGUCGUCCGAGGCCUGUAGAUACGACUAAAGCUGUUUUGAAUUGAACAGCGACCAGACGUCCGGAGAGGACUAGAAAUCCGAGUUAUACGACUCAACUUCUUCUGGUGGUAGGUUCCGGAUUUCCAAAGGGUGUCGGACGUCCGGCCCUCGGACGUCCGGAGGGAGCCGGAAAUCCGAGUUAUAGAACUCAACUUCUACUCGUGCAGGGUUCCGGAUUUCCGGGGCUGGUCGGACGUCCGANGAGUGAGAGUAAAGGUGUUCUUGGGUGUAUUCUAGCUGUGUUGAACACCCUUUCACGAGGUGGGAGAAGAGUAUAUAUAGUGGGGAGUGAAAUACAGCCGUUGGGACACUUUAAGUCACACAGGGUCCAGACGUCCGACAGUUGCCGGAAGUCCGGGCGUCCGCGAGGGGUCGGACGUCCGACAGGGGUCGGUCGUCCGAGGCCUGUAGAUACGACUAAAGCUGUUUUGAAUUGAACAGCGACCAGACGUCCGGAGAGGACUAGAAAUCCGAGUUAUACGACUCAACUUCUUCUGGUGGUAGGUUCCGGAUUUCCAAAGGGUGUCGGACGUCCGGCCCUCGGACGUCCGGAGGGAGCCGGAAAUCCGAGUUAUAGAACUCAACUUCUACUCGUGCAGGGUUCCGGAUUUCCGGGGCUGGUCGGACGUCCGGCCCUUGGUUGUCCGGAGGUAGCCGGAUUUCCGAGUUAUAUGACUCACAAACUUCUGGUGAAGGGCUGCGGAUUUCCGAAGCCUGCCGGUCGUCCGGCCCUCGGACGUCCGGAGGGAGCCGGAUGUACGAGGCUAUAGACCUGUUUUGAUAUAAGAACAGAGUGGAGAAUAUGUGGUAUUUGGAAUGAUAGUAAAGAUGUGGUAUGAGAAAUCUCAUCGCAAAACCUGUGAUCCCCUCUUAAUAGUGCGGGAUCCCUAUACUCAAUAUCAGCAAACUCAAAAGACCAGUCUUCAUCAUCUUUUCUUAAUCCCGAGCCUUCUCGAAAUAUAAAUCCCCAAUCUUCUCAGACAGCCUUUGGCACAUAAUUCUCAAUCUACUAAAGUACUUGCCAUCCUGAGAUACACUCAACAAAUAGGAUUAGUUUCCUAUGUAUGUGUUGUCAUUAACACCAAAAGACGAUUAGGGGCAUAGCAUGCACUUUCAAGUCUGUCGCUUUUAUGUCUUCCUCAUCACAGGUUCAUACAAAGCUUAAUUUCCACACACUAAUAGAUCAUACAUAUUUAGGGAGCAAUUUUUAUUUCUUGCAUCGAUGACAACUUACUUGAGGGAUCUUAUUCAAUCCAUAGGUAGGUGAUAUGUCUCCAACGUAUCUAUAAUUUUUGAUGGUUUCAUGCUAUUAUCUUGUCAAACUUUGGAUGUUUUGUAUGCCUUUUAUAUUUUUUUGGGACUAACCUAUUAACUCAGUGCCAAGUGUCAGUUCCUAUUUUUUCUGUGUUUUUGACCAUUUUCAGAGGAGGAUUGUAAACGGAGUCCAAACAGAAUAAAACUUCCGAAAAGAUUUUUUUACGAAACAGAAGACGAUCAGGAGACUUGAGAACCAAGGCAGAGGGUCACCAGGGAAAAUACUUUUCGCCGCCGCAAGCUUCUGUCUCCGCAAGAUCCCAUCUGGGGCAAGUUCUGGUGUCCUGCCGGAGGGAGGAUUCUGAUACGGAGGGCUCCUUCAUCAACACCAUUACCUCUCCGAUGAUGCGUGAGUAGUUCACCAUAGACCUACGGGUCCAUAGCUAGUAGCUAGAUGGCUUCUUCUCUCUCUUGGAUCUUCAAUACAAAGUUCUCCAUGAUCUUCAUGGAGAUCUAUCCGAUGUAAUCUUCUUUUGCGGUGUGUUUGUCGAGAUGCGACGAAUUGCGGAUUUGUUAUCAGAUUAUCUAUGAAUCUUAUUUGAGUUUCUUCUGAUCUCUUAUAUGCAUGAUUUGAUGUCCUUGUAAUUCUCUUCGAGUUGUGGGUUUUGUUUGGCCAACAUGAUCUAUGAUUCUUGCAAUGGGAGAAGUGCUUGGUUUUGGGUUCAUACCGUGCGGUGACCUCACCCAGUGACAGAAGGGGUAGUGAGGCACGCAUCGUGUUGUUCCAUCAAGGGUAAAAAGAUGGGGUUUUCAUCAUUGGUUUGAGUUUAUCCCUCUACAUCAUGUCAUCUUGCUUAAGGCGUUACUCUGUUCAUCAUGAACUCAACACACUAGAUGCAUGCUGGAUAGCGGUCGAUGUGUGGAGUAAUAGUAGUAGAUGCAGAAAGUAUCGAUCUACUUGUCUCGGACGUGAUGCCUAUAUGUAUGAUCAUUGCCUUAGAUAUCGUCAUGACUUUGCGCGGUUCUAUCAAUUGCUCGACAAUAAUUUGUUCACCCACCGUAAUAUUUGCUAUUUUUAUAGAAGCCUCUAGUGAACACUAUGGCCCCGGGGUCUACUUCACAUCAUAUUUUCAGCCUUACACUUUUACUUCGUUGCAAUUUCCGCCUUCAUAUCUCACUUUGCAAUCAAUCUUGAAGGGAUUGACAACCCCUUUAUAGCGUUGGGUGCAAGCUCUUUUGUGUUUGCGCAUGUACUCUGGACUUGACGUGAUUCUCCUACUGGAUUGAUACCUUGGUUCUCGAACUGAGGGAAAUACUUACUGCUCCUGUGCUGCAUCACCCUUUCCUCUUCAAGGGAAAAACCAGCGCAAGCCAAGUCUCCAUCAACGUGCCAAUUUCUGCCGCUGUUGUCUGUUGCCGUAGCAGUAGGUAUGGUGGACUCUCAUGGCAAAACUGGGUUGAAGGUUUAGGAUGCACAAGUAGUAUCUCUACUUAGUGCGUAAGUUUUGGCUGAUAUGAGGUGGAAGCAAGUGUCACAUGUUAAGGGAUCUCUAGUCAUAUAACAUUGUUCGGAACCAAGCAAACAUAAUUCAUUAUGUUGUCUUCCUUGUCCAACAUCUACUUCUAAGCAUGUAAUAGUUUAAUGAGUGUUCACAAUCAUAGAUGGUCCCAAACAUGAUAUAUUUACAUGUGAACCUCUCUUUCUUUAUUACUUCCUAUUAAUUGUAACAAUGACCAAGGUCUACGUUUGUCCACCCACAACAAGUUUCAAUCAACAUUCUUUUUAUAUGUGAAGCCAUCACUUCCCAUAAGAUCAUUACAUGAUCUUUCAUGCUUUUGUUCUUUUAUUAUUCUUUUCUUUAGAUCAUGGCAUGAAGCAAGGCCCUUAACUAAAACACUCUUUAUUAUAUGACUCACGAACUCGAAUACAUUAGGGGUAACACAAAGCAAAACUCAAGCCUAGAUCAUACUAAGAACUUUAUUCUACUAGAAAAAGAUAAAACCAAAAAGGAUCGAACUAAGAAAAAGGUAAAGGCAAAAGAUGUGAUGGUGAUAACAUACCGGGGCCACUCCCUCAAGCUUGGCACAAGCCAAGGGGAGUGCCCAUACCCGUGGUUAGUUGUCUUCCUUCGAAGGUGACGAUGGUGGAGUUGUUGCAGUCUGGGGUUUAUUCUCCGUCUUCCAAGGUAUAGGUGCUCCAUCAUGGAAAGAUGAUCGAGUCUCCGGAAUCCUCAAAUCUGCAGCCAACCGUAUUGAUUUAAAUCUAUACUCAUACUCAUAGUUUUGGUUCUUCAGGUCGUAGAUCUGGGCUUGGAGGUGAUCAAUUAUGUCAUAGAGCCUGGAGAGGUGCUUCCCGAUGUCAUUGGCAUCGAUCUUGUGCUUGUUGGUGAACUCCGUGAUCAUCAUGUGGUUGGCGUUUAGUCCGUGUUCCACCAUCCCUUGGCACUUGAAGACUUGCUGCUCCAUUGCUUUGAGCCUCGCCUCUAUGCUUUCGGUCUUCUUGGGCCCCUCAACGUCACGGAUGUGCAGCACCCCCUCAUGCAUCUCGAUAGAUUGAAGGUGUUGCAGCACUCCCGCGAGGUAGGGAUUGAUGACCUUCUCGAAGAGCUUGUCCUUCGGAACUUUUGGGGACGCCAUAGCGAUCUAGAUCUGUCUGCACAGCAGCUCGAAACGAAAACACAGGAUAUUUGCGUGAUAAGAGGGUCAGACCUUUCGGGCGAAUAUAUAAUGAAUUUUUCCCGACUAAAAGGAGUAUUCCACCAGAAAAUGGAGUCCGGGAGGCACACGAGGUGCUCACAAGCCACCCAGGCGCGGCCAGGGGUGUAGGCCGUGCCUGGCAGGCUUGUAGCCUCCUCGUGCGCUUUCCGGACUACUUUAAAUCUUUUCUAAAAAUUCCAAAACGGAGAAAAAUUGCUACUCGAAAAGUUUUGGAGUCGGUUUACUUACCGAAUCACAUACCUCUUCAUUUUUGGAGUCUAAAACAGGCUGAUAAAUAUCCCUUAUGUACUCCUCCGGAGUUAUGGUAUUAAUAAUAUUGCUUUCAAUAUUUAUGGGAGUACCUGAGAUAUAAUGCUUGAUUCUUUGCCCAUUUACAACUCUCGGAAAACUACCUUCCGUGUUGUUGAUCUUUAUGGCACCGGAACGAUAUACUUCCUCAACAAUGCAAGGACCUUCCCAUUUAGAGAGAAGCUUGCCUGCAAAAAAUCUUAAACGAGAAUUGUAUAGCAAGACAUAAUCACCUACAUUGAACUCACGUUUUUGUAUCCUCUUAUCAUGCCACCUCUUAACUUUUUAUUUAAAAAACUUGGAAUUUUCAUAUGCCUGAGUUCUCCAUUCAUCAGGAGAGCUAAUAUCAAAUAACCUCUUCUCACCAACAAGUUUGAAAUCAAAGUUGAGCUCUUUGAUUGCCCAAUAAUCCUUAUGCUCUAGCUCAAGAGGUAAAUGACAUGCUUUACCGUAAACCAUUUUGUACGGAGACAUGCCCAUGGGAUUCUUAUAAGCAGUUCUAUAAGCCCCACAGUGCAUCAUCAAGCUUCUUAGACCAAUUCUUUCUAGACCUAUUAAAAGUCUUUUGCAGAAUUAGUUUAAUUUCUCCAUUACUUAGCUCUACUUGACCAGUGGACUGAGGAUGAUAGGGAGAUGCAAUUAUGUGGUUUACAUCAUACUUCAAGCGUUUUACGGAAAGGACCAUGAAUAAAAUGUGAACCACCAUCAGUCAUUAAAUAUCUAGGGACUCCAAAUCUAGGGAAAAUAACUUCUUUAAGCAUCCUAAUAGAGGUGUUAUGAUCAGCACUACUAGUUGGGAUAGCUUCUAGCCACUUAGUAACGUAAUCAACAGCAACUAGGAUAUGAGUAUACCCAUUGGACUUUGGAAAAGGUCCCAUAUAAUCAAAACCCCAAACAUCAAAUGUUUCAAUGACAAGUGAAUAAUUAAUAGGCAUUUCCUGACGUUUACUGAUAUUACCUACUCUUUGACAUUCAUCACAAGACAGGACAAACUUACGGGCAUCCUUAAAGAGAGUAGGCAAUAAAAUCCGGAUUGCAAUACUUUGUGUGCAGUUCUAUCUCCCGCAUGGUGUCCUCCGUAAGCCUCAGAGUGACACUUCUGUAGGAUGUGUCCUUGUUCAUGCUCAGGUACACAACGUCUAAUAACACCAUCUACUCCUUCUUUAUAAAGGUGAGGAUCAUCCCAAAAGUAAUGUCUCAAAUCAAAGAAGAAUUUCUUCUUUUGCUGGUAUGUGAAACUAGGUGGUAUAUAUUUGACAACAAUAUAAUUUGCAUAAUCAGCAUACCAAGGUGUACUACAUGAAGUAUUGAUGACAUUCAAUUGCUCAUCAGGGAAGCUAUCAUCAAUAAGUUGUGGGUCAUCAAGAACAUUCUCCAACCUAGACAAGUUAUCUGCUACGGGGUUCUCAGCACCCUUCCUAUCAACAACAUGCAAAUCAAAUUCUUGUAGCAAGAGAACCCAUCUGAUAAGUCUAGGUUUAGCAUCUUUCUUUUCCAUGAGAUACUUGAUAGCAGCAUGAUCAGUGUGAAUAGUAACUUUGGAAUCCACAAUGUAAGAUCUAAACUUUUCACAUGCAAACACGACUGCUAAAAAUUCCUUUUCAGUAGUAGCAUAGUUUCUUUGGGCACUGUCUAGAGUUUUACUAGCAUAGUGAAUAACAUUCAAUUUCUUAUCAACUCUUUGUCCUAGAACAGCACCAACAGCAUAAUCACUAGAUCACACAUAAUUUCAAAAGGUAGGUUCCAAUCAGGUGGUUGAACAAUAGGUGCAGUUAUUAAGGCCUUCUUAAGUAUUUCAAAUGCUUCUUCACAAUCAUCAUCAAAAACAAAUGGAAUAUCCUUUUGCAAGAGAUUGGUAAGAGGCCUAGAAAUCUUAGAGAAGUCUUUAAUGAUCCUUCUAUAGAAACCAGCACGACCAAGGAAACUUCUUAUACCUUUGAUGUCUGUAGGGCAUGGCAUUUUCUCAAUCGCAUCAACUUUAGCCUUAUCGACUUCAAUACCUCUUUCAGAAAUUUUAUGUCCUAAGACGAUGCCUUCAUUAACCAUAAAGUGGCACUUCUCCCAAUUCAAGACAAGGUUGGUAUCUUUACAUCUCUGCAAAACUCGAUCAAGGUUGCUCAGACAAUCAUCAAAAGAAGACCCGUAAACGGAGAUGUCAUCCAUGAAAACCUCAACAAUCUUUUCACAAAAGUCACAGAAUAUAGCCAUCAUACAUCUUUGAAAGGUAGCAGGUGCAUUACAUAAGCCAAAAGGCAUACGUCUAUAAGCAAAGGUACCGAAAGGGCAGGUAAAAGUGGUUUUCUCCUGAUCAGAUUGUGCAACACGUAUUUGGGAGAAACCAGAAUAACCAUCUAGAAAGCAGAAGUGUGUGUGUUUAGACAAUCUUUCUAGCAUUUGGUCAAUAAAAGGCAAAGGGUAAUGAUCUUUCCUAGUGGCUUUAUUCAAUUUCCUAAAAUCAAUCACCAUCCUAUAGCCAGUAAUAAUCCUCUGUGGGAUCGAUUCAUCUUUAUCAUUAGGGACAACGGUAAUACCUCCCUUCUUAGGGACGCAAUGCACCGGACUUACCCAAUCACUAUGAGCAACACGAUAGAUGAUAAUUGCUUCCAGGAGCUUUAGUAUUUCUUUUCUUACCACCUCUUUCAUCUUAGGAUUUAAUCUCCGUUGAUGAUCGGCAACUGGUUUGGAAUCAGGAUUGGUUUUAAUUUUAUGCUGGCAUAAGUGGGACUAAUGCCCUUAAGAUCAUCAAGAGUAUAUCCAAUAGCAACACGAUGCUUCCUCAGAGUUUUCAAUAAUUUCUUUUCUUCAUGCUCUGAAAGGCUAGCACUAAUAAUAACAGGAUAUAUCUCUUUUCCAUCAAGAUAAGCAUACUUAAGAGUAUCAGGUAACUGUUUAAGCUCAAACACAGGAUCACCCUUUGGUGGGGGUGGAUCUCCAAGCAGUUCAACAGGCAAAUUAUUCUUAAGGAUAGGAUGUUAUUCAAAGAUAACUCUAUCUAUCUCAUUCCUUUCAUCCAUAUGCAUAUCAUUUUCAUGCUCAAGCAAGUAUUUCUCUAAAGGAUCAGUAGGGGGCACAACAAUAGAAACUAGGGCAAUAAUUUCAUCCUUACUAGACAAUUCCUUUUCAUGAGGUUGUCUACCAAACUUGGAGAAAUUGAAUUCAUGUGACACACCUUCAAAGCCAAAGUGACAGUUUGCUUCGCACAGUCAAUAUGAGCAUUGACAGUAUUGAGGAAAGGUCUGCCAAAUAUGAUGGGACAAAAGCUAUCUUGUGUGGUAGCAAGAACGAGAAAAUCAGUAGGAUACUUAGUUUUACCACACAAGACUUCAACAUCUCUAACAAUUCCCAAAGGGAAGAUAGUAUCUCUAUUGGCAAGCUGAAUAGUAACAUCAAUAGAUUCCAUCUCGACAGGUGCAAUCUCGUAUUUAAUUUCAUCAUAUAAAGAUCGAGGUAUUGCACUAACACUAGCACCCACGUCACAUAAACCAUGAUAACAAUGAUCUCCUAUCUUAACAGAAACAACAGUCAUGCCAACAACAUGCCUAUGUUUGUCUCUAGCAUGAGGUUUAGCAAUUCUAGCAGCAUCUUCACAGAAGUGAAUAACAUGCCCAUCAACAUUCUCGGACAGGAGAUCUUUGAUAAUAGCAAUGCUAGGUUCAACUCUAAUUUUCUCAGGGGGUGUAGGUGUUCUAAUGUAGCCCUUACGUAUCACAGUUGGAGCUUUAGCAUGAUCCUUUAUUCUAACAGGGAAGGGUGGUUUCUCAAUGUAAGCACUAGGAACAAUAGGAUCAUUAUAAGAAAUGACUUUCUCUUCAACUGGAUUGGGUUUUACUACAUUGACUUCUAUGGAAGGAUGAUAUUUAAACCACUUCUCCUUAGGGAGAUUAAUAUAAGCAACAAAUGAUUCACAUAAUGAAGCUACUAUCUCACAGUCAAGUCCAUGUUUAGCGCUAAAGUCACAAAAAGUAUUUGUUUCAAUGAAGGAUUUAACGCAAUCGAACUUAAGAUUCAUACCUGAAUCCUUACCUUCAUCAAACUCCCAAUCUUCAGAGUUGCGUUUAAUUCUUUCCAAUAAAUUCCAUUUGAAGUCAAUAUCUCUCUUCAUAAAAGAACCGGUACAAGAAGUGUCAAGCAUGGUGCGAUUAUCAUGAGAAAGCCGAGCAUAGAAGUUCUGAAUAAUAAAUUCUCUCGAGAGCUCAUGGUUGGGGCAUGAAUAUAACAUUGAUUUAAGACUCCCCCAAGCUUGAGCGAUACUUUCUCUAUCACGAGGCCAAAAAUUAUAAAUAUAAUUCCGAUCAUGAUGUACCAGAUGCAUAGCAUAAAUUUUUUUAUGAAAUUCCAAUUUCAAUCGGUUGUAGUUCCAUGAUCCAGUAUCGUCACAUAGCCUAUACCAUGUCAAUGAUUUAUCCCUCAAAGAUAAGGGAAAGACCUUCUUCUUGACCUCAUCCUCGGGCAAACCUGCAAACUUAAAUAAACCACAAACUUCAUCUACAUAGAUUAGAUGCAAGUUGGGAUGUGAUAUUCCAUCUUCUGUAAAAGGAUUAGCCAACAAUUUCUCUAGCAUACCCAAAGGAAUUUCAUAACAAAUAUUUUCAGUAGGUGCCGUAGGUUGAGGAGAAACUCCUUGUGCUUCCAUUCGAGGUGAAGAUACCCCAAACAAACUCCUCAAAGGAUUAGUUUCCAUAAUGACAAGUGACAAUAAACUUCAGCACACUAUAUAAAUGUUUCCUUACCAAAUUCCACUUACCAAAGGCGCUUCACUCCCCGGGAGCGGCGCCAUAAAAGUGUCUUGAUGACCCACAAGUGUAGGGGAUCUAUCGUAGUCCUUUCGAUAAGUAAGAGUGUCGAAGCCAACGAGGAGCAGAAGGAACUGACAAGUGGUUUUCAGCAAGGUAUUCUCAGCACGCACUGAAAUUAUCGGUAACAGAUAGUUGUGUGAUAAUAUAAUUCAUAACGAGUAGCAAGUAACAAUAGUAAAAAGGUGCAGCAAGAUGGCCCAAUCCCUUUUGUAGCAAGGGACAAGCCUGGACGAACUCUUAUAUGAGGUAAAGUGCUCCCGAGGGCACAUGGAAUUUCUGUCAAGCUAGUUUUCAUCAUGUUCAUAUGAUUCGCGUUCGCUAAUUUGAUAGUUUGAUAUGUGGGUGGACCGGUGCUUGGGUGUUGUCCUUACUUGGACAAACAUCCCACUUAUGAUUAACCCCUCUCGCAAGCAUCCGCAACUAAGAAAGAAGAAUUAAGACUAAGUCUAACCAUAGCAUUAAACUAGUGGAUCCAAAUGAGCCCCUUACGAAGCAACGCAUAAACUAGGGUUUAAGCUUCAGUCACUCUAGCAACCCAUCAUCUACUUAUUACUUCCCAAUGACUUCCUCUAGGCCCAAAUAAUGGUGAAGUGUCAUGUAGUCGACGUUCACAUAACACCACUAGAGGAAAUACAACAUACAACGCAUAAAAAUAUCGAACGAAUACCAAAUUCACAUGACUACUUAUAGCAAGACUUAUCCCAUGUCCUCAGGAACAAAAGUGACUACUCACAAAGCAAUAUUAUGUUCAUGAUCAGAGAGGUAUUGAAUAGCAUUAAGGAUCUGAACAUAUGAUCUUCCACCGAGUAAUCCAACUAGCAUCAACUACAAAGAGUAAUUAACACUACUAGCAACCUUACAAGUACCAAUCGGAGUCGCGAGACGGAGAUUGGUUACAAGAGAUGAACUAGGGUUUGGAGAUGAGAUGGUGCUGAUGAAGACGUUUAUGGAGAUGAGUCCCCUCCGAUGAGAGGAGUGUUGGUGAUGACGAUGGCGACGAUUUCCCCCUCCGGGAGGGAAGUUUCCCCGGCAGGACGGCCCUGCCACAGCUCUAGAUUGGUUCUGCUCAAGUUCCGCCUCGUGGCUGCGGCGAUUCCUCCCGAAAGCCUCUUCCUAAUUUUUUCUGGGACGAAACCCUCCUUAUAGCAGAAGAUGGUAGCCGGAGGGGCAACAGGGGGCCCACAAGCCACCCAGGCGCAGCCAGGGGGGUAAGCCGCGCCUGGCAGGCUGGUGGCUUCCGGGUGGCUCCCCUCCGGUACUUCUUCCGCCCAGUAUUUUUUAUAAAAACCAAACUAAUUCCUCGUUGAGUUUCACGGCUUUUGGAGUUGUGCAGAAUAGGUAUCUCAAACUUGCUCCUUUUCCAGCCCAGAAUUCCAACUGCCGACAUUCUCCCUCUUCAUGUAAACCUUAUAAAAUAAGAGAUAAAAGGCAUAAGUAUUGUACCGUAAAGUGUAAUAACAGCCCAUAAAGCGAUAAAUAUCAACAUAAAAGCAUGAUGCAAAAUGGACGUAUCAGGGUCCAACUUCUCCUCCACUAGCGGGGUCAGACUAAACUUCCCACCACCACUUUAUCAUGCCACCACCUACAUGGGUCCUUGGAGAUUUCUGAAAUUCUCUUAUGAGCCUAAGGCCCACUACUAAUUUCAAGAAUCCCCCACCAGAUCUCAAGGGCACAUUGUGUUCCCUCGUUCCAAUCAUUGUUUUAAUACACCGGCAUUUCAGUGAAGACAUGUUAAGGUUGAGCUUCACCUAGAACAAGUAGCUACACCCUUUUACAACUGAACAAUGGACUAUGCCUUGAAUUGUCAGUUUGGCGUAAAGAAGCUUCACCACAAGUCUAACUAAUACUAGGCUACCGAAGGAUGACCCCUCGGGUGGAGCAUAUUAGUCACACUCCUCGCCUAUUCAUGAGUUUACUAGAGAUCACCCCAAUCUCAUAGACUGUGACUAGCAGUCAGGCUCAUAUAGGUGUGUUCCUCCAAAGAUCGCUCUGUAGGACAGCAUCUUGCUUACACAUAAGCUUUAGAACACAUUAAGACAGUAGUCAUCCUACCAUACAGUAUCCGAGAGCAUUGCAUCUCCAACGGAGUGGGUUAGUAAAGUUACUCUCCUCAGUUCACCAUUGGCUUGUUUUCCCAGGUCCUACUUCACGGGAUCUCCGAUCAUAUAGGUUGGGUUACUGCCAUGGCAACUCAUGUGUGUCUCAUACCCAUCUCCCUCGAUGCACUAUCUAUCACAACACGUGAUAGCCCUUUAGUAAAGGGAUCUGCCAGAUUCUUAGCCGUUUGGAUGUAAUCCAACGCUAUCACUCCGGAGUUUCUCAAACGUCUGACAGCCUUCAAUCUCAUUCUUAUAUGUUUGUUGGACUUCAUAUUGUCCUUUGAACUCUUCACUUUGACAAUAACCAUCUGAUUGUCGCAAUUCAUAAGGAUAGCCGGAACCGGCUUCUCAACCACAUGUGAGUCCAUCAAAAGAUUUCGAAGAAAUUCUGCUUCGACACCAGAUGUGUCUAAUGAUGUUAGUUCUUCUUCCAUUGUCGAUCUCGUUAAGAUCGUUUGCUUGCAAGACUUCCAGGAAACAACACCACCUCCAAGAGUAAAUAUAUACCCAGUAGUGGCCUUCAUCUCAUCAGCAUUAGAGAUCCAAUUUGCAUCACUAUACCCUUCAAGUACCGAUGGGUAUCCCAUAUAGUGAAGUCUGUGGUUGACAGUACCUUUCAGGUAGAGCAUAAUUCUUUCAACAGCACGCCAAUGAACAUCGCCCGGGUUUACAAUAAACCGGCUAAGUUUGCUCAUAGAAAACGUGAUGUCAGGUCUUGUUGCGCUAGCUAGGUACAUAAGCGAACCGAUAAUUUGAGAGAAUCUCAAUUGAUCUAUAGAUGUGCCUUUGAACUUUCGAAUCAGCACACUAGGAUCAUAUGGUGUUUGAGAAAUUUUGCAGUCUAAAUAUCCAAAGCGACUCAAAAAUCUUCUCAACAUAGUGGGGUUGCAAAAGUGUAAUCCCGCCCUCAUCAUCUCUCAAGAGCUUGAUGUUCAAGAUAACAUCAGCCACUCCAAGGUCCUUCAUCUCAAAGUUUUGAGACAGAAAGGACUUAACCUCCUCAAUCACCUUGGGGUUGGUUCCAAAUAUCAGUAUGUCAUCAACAUACAAGCACAGUAUAACUCCUUCACCCCCACCAUGGCGAUAGUAUACACAUUUGUCAGCUUCAUUAACAGCAAAGCCAACAAAUGUCAGAGUUGUAUUAAACUUAUCAUGCCAUUGCUUAGGUGCUUGCUUCAAGCCAUAUAAAGAUUUCAACAACUUACACACUUUUCCUUCCUGACCAUCUAACACAAAGCCAUCUGGCUAUUGCAUAUAGAUUUCCUCGUCUAGCUCUCCAUUCAGGAAAGCUGUCUUAACGUCCAUUUGAUGAACAAGAAGACCAUGCGAGGUUGUCAAUGAGAGUAAUACUCAAAUGGUGGUAAGUCUAGCCACAGGUGAGGAAGUUUCAAAGAAAUCUUCUUCUUCUUUCUGGGCAUAGCCCUUGGCCACAAGCCUAGCCUUGUACUUUUCAACCGUACCAUCGGGCCUAAGCUUCUUUUUGAACACCCACUUGCAUCCCAAUGGUUUGCAACCAUAGGGACGAUCAAUAAUUUCACAUGUCCCAUUAGCCAUGAUGGAAUCCAUCUCGCUACGGACCGCAGCUUUCUAGUAAUCAGCAUCUGGAGAAGCAUACGCUUCUGAAAUGGAAGUGGGAUUAUCAUCCACUAGGUAUAUGUAACGACCAAGAUGCGGUCCUUUCCGAUCUGGGGGUCGAGGCCUCCGAAUAGGAAAGAAGCGCAUCUAAGCGUUUCGCAAGCAAGUAACAUAGCACAAAAUAAUAAUACAAGUAGACAAUUCGGGAUUCAACUGUCUUCUUAUUAAUAACUCGGAGUACAACACAGAUACAAACAAGGUAGUUCCGGUAUGGACUACAAAACAUGGAAAAUGCUAUGCUACCCUGCUGCAGGCCCACGAUCACGACCAUGGCUCAGGCCUCUGGAUAGUUCACGUAGAGGCGGUGUGUCUCCUCGUCGUACUGCCACGCCAGCUGGGUGUCGUCGGGAUCAUCUAUCUCUGGGGUACCUGUACCUGCUGGGAGUUUCGGAGGAAUCCGUGAGCCACGGGGACUCAGCAAUCUAAGACCUUGGUGCCAGAACUAGUCAUGUUGUUGGGUAGGGAAGGGAGAAGUGUAUCAGGCUGCUGCAUCCUAUGUUUGAAUAAGUGGCUAACUUACGCAAAGUAGAAGGGAAGGUGGUCUAUGCUAACGGUCGGAGCUACUUGAUCAGUAAGUGAUCCUGAACACCUACCUACGACAUUCAUAACCCCACCGUGUUCUCGAUCGAAGAGGGAUCUUCGAAGGGACAGUCACGGUUACGCACACAGUUGGCAGUUUUACUUAUUUAAGUUUAAGUUCUCUAAUACCGGAUGUUAACAAAAUAUUCCAAGUUGCCACAUAACCGCGGGCACGGCUUUCCAAAAGAUUAAACCCUGCAGGGGUGCUCCAAGUAGUCCAUCACAAACGAACACAGGCCGCAAAGGCAUCCUCUAUCACGAAUCUCGUGAUCUCGUCGGAUUCCUUAGAAGAAAACCUCAACUCUGGGGAAAACCAAAGCUUCACGGGGAUUCCUAUAUGCAAGAUAUACCGCUAAGGUAAGGCAAGGCUAGCAGGACCUCCCGACGUGUCGACGACCCUGAUAAGAGCCGCGUAUCUCAGUCUCAGGACACGCCGGAUGAGUCACACUACAGGUAUACCAAACAUCAGGUUGCCCUGUGGUGGCCCCAUAGUCUGCCCAGUUUGGACCAACACUCAUGAGGAGCACUGGCCCGGGUUGUUGAUUAGAUCCUCGAUGUAGCUAUUCCCUAUGCAGUUUGUUAUUAAGUGAUUAGCAAAUUAACACCAAUGUUGGGUCCUGCCGGACAAGCCUUAGCACUACGCGAUUUAUCAAGGGGGUCCCCAUAACAACCCCGAACGUGUUAGGAGCGAUCAUUAUGGAAUCACACACCGGUAACCGGUAACUAAGGCGGCAAUAACGGAACAAAGCACCCGGCAAAAGGCUAGGCCUCCCGUCAUUUACCAAGUAUAUAGGUGCAUUAAAUGAAUAACAGAAUUUAAUAUAAUGAUAUCAAGCUCAUGUCAUCACAUGAGUUUAAAACACCUGCAACUAACAAUGCUAACAUUAGUAGCUGAGCAAGCCUACUUAGCCACACAAGUUUGCUAGGAAGGAGUACGGUGUUUGGGCUCAUGGAAUAUGAAGAGGCAAUUUAAUUUCAGUGGUAGGCAGCGAGCAAUAUGACAUGGAAACGAAACUAACAUAACAAGUCUAGAGAUGGAAUCAAGGUCAUAUCAUCUUGCCUGUGAUAUCCUCAGCUUGGAAUGGUUCUGGAUCGUCCUGCACGUACUCUCCUGACUCCACGUAUUCGUUCUCCGCUCCCGGUGCUACCCAACAUAAGAAUGAUAGCCAAUGAACAGCAGCACCACAAGAUGCAACAAUCACAUGAUGCAUGAGAUGAAAGUUGAGCAUGCACCACUAUUUCUAUCAAUAGCACAAGCAAAAUAAACUACUACAAGUUUCUGGACAGAACUGUGCACUAAGCUAUUUUGACAUGCAUGGGAAUGACAUGAACAGAUGCGGCUCGUGAAAACGGUGCAAAACCAUAUAAAGAACUUUGCAAACGGAGCUACGGAUCAACGGGAAUCAACGAAACAAGAUAUGAAGCUCUACGCGGAAGUUUCAACACCACACUCACAAUUGGCACAAAUCUGGUAUUCCCAAGUUGUCAAGACAUGUAAUAACCCAACAUGAAUGGAUUCGAUCAAGGAAGAACACCACAACACCAUCUAAGCACACACAAAGAUUAAAAUGACAACACUACAUAAUCUGCCAUAAUCUGCAUCUUAGCUCCUUGGGAGCUGCAUGCAACAUAGCUAUAGGUCUUCAAACAUGACAAACAAUAUAUGUGGCUGUUGCCAACCAAGAACACUACAAGCACCAGCAAGAAUCACAGCAAAAGGAAUUAAACUCUAGAAGAUACAAGGCCACAAACUUUCCCAAAACCAUCAGAUCUCAGGGACUUAGUGCACCUGAGUUUCUGUCUCUGUUCUGAAGCUUUUUGACAGCAAUAAAAACACAACCUACUCGACUCCAAAUGUCUUAAAAAUUGACAGGAAGCUUCACAAACAUACCAGGUUCAAAAUCCUAGCACUGAACUAAGGCUAGUUCUCAACAGAAUGACCAGCACGUCCUCAUCUAAAGGGGAAGAAAAUGUUUUCAGAAUCCCAGACUUAGUGAAAUUUCAGAGUUCACUAAUCUGGAAUUUUUCAGCCACAAGCCCACUUUGUCUAGGCUUAGUUUGCACACACAUAACACCAAGAGGUAAUUGACACCACUAUGGUGUAGAGCAAAACCCCUACUACUAACACACAAAAACUCAUGCCCUUGGGCUCCACCUAUUCCAUGGAAUCAAAGACCAAUCUUGCAACAAAACUGAAUAUGCACUCCAUAAAGUACCCUUCUAAGAUAACAACUACAUAGGAUGAGUUCAUGUGCACAAUGACAAAGUGACAUGGGGGUUUGAACCCCAUGUUUGUGUCAUGCACAUCAACAACACCAAUGCUUAUCACAAGUCAACCCCACACACACAACAUGCUCUCUCUCAUAUUAAACAUGAGGAGGUGCACAACUUGCAAAGGUGGGAAGGUCCACACACACACACAUCUCAAGCAUAACAUAAAGCUAGUCCUACUCAACCUAGUUAGAACAUACAAUAGCUACACUCCCAUCAUGAAUCCAACACCAUCACACCCAAGCUUGCUCAUGUGCACAUCAAGGCACAUCAUGCCUUGUCAUGGGUGAGGCUCUCACAAACAUCAAACACACUAGCAUCACUUGGAGCAAGAACCCAACUCCAAGCAUAAGGGAAACACACUCACAUGCACAAACUACCACCACCAAGGCUUAAAUCUCAAGGAUUUAUGCAAUUGCACAAGCAUGUGUGUAGGGUUACACACACACUUGCACACACACUCAAUAUCAAGCACAAACUCACACACACAUGAAUCUACACCACUACUACUAUCAUACAAACCCUACAUACAUGCCUUCUCUCACACCUCCAUCAAACAACAGGGAUGUUUUAAAAAAAAAUAUAAGGCAAUGGAACCCCAUUGAUCUAGGCAUGGAGUAGCACACAAGGCAAGGGAAAACAACAAAAAAAUAGCAAGAAAGAAACAGGAAAAAGAAUUGGGUCUCUCUGGGAUUCGAACCCCAGAGCCCCUGGUUCCACACCCACACACAAUUCCACUGCGCUGCUGCUACGGCUGUUGACGAGGGAGGUGGAACAAGCAGGGUAAGGUUCCCUACAGAGCACAAAACCGCAAACAAUACAACCUAAAAAAGAAAGUGCCAAGGGGGGGGACUCGAACCCACGCCCUCCUACAGGCACCACACACACACUAUCACUACACUACGAAUCGGCGUCUGAACUACUACGCGCUGCCAAACAUAAGAGGACAACCCCCUGCUCAUCUGCUACCGGAGACUGACCGGAACAGGGGAGGGUCUCGCCGGCGCUGCGAGCCGAAUACAACUCCGGCUCGUGGAGGGGAGGAAGUCCACACCCACAUGAACCCAUUCCAAAACCUAACUACUCCUGAGGGCCGCUACAACGGCGUGUCGACGGUGACCAGCGGCUCCGGCGACAGAGGCACGCGCGCAACGAACCUAUAGCUACGGUGCUCGAACUAGCACAAGAAGGAGGGAGGAGGAGUACUGGCUUACGUACGGGACGAUGAAGAAGCGUCCGAAGAGGAAGUAGCAGGAAGAAGGGCGCGUGGCGGCGGAGCUCGUCGGAGAAGGAGGGCCUCCGGGAGGAAGAUGAAGCGGAGUCGGGGACGACGAUCUAGCGGCGGGAACGAGCCCGUGGAGAGGCCCGCGAGCUCCUGGACCUCUCGACGUGGAGGAGGAGGUGCCACAGCGACGACGGUGACCUCCUUCACCCAUCGGCCAUGGUGGAUCCGCCUCGCUUACCUUACUGCGACGCUGCAGAGAGGAGGGAGGUGAGAUCUGGGUGGAGCGGCGGCGGAAGGGGGAACCCUAGCCAAGGCACGCACGCCAAGGGGCUUUAUAGGGAGAGAGGGCACCCUCCCAACACUUGAAAUAAGUACCGGUAAACUUAUCCGGUUUCAGUGCAGCAGCAAAACCAUUACCCGAAACAUUCCUACACAAAUUAGGUUUUUGGAUUGUUGAGUAAAUAGACAAUUUUUCGAGUAGAUUAAUCCACGAGAUAAUAACUAGCAUGGCGUUGACUAGACUAAUGCCAUACUGAUCAUGAACUAAUCUAGCACAUACUACGCAUAUAGUUGAUACAUCUAUGCAUGCAAGUAGUACUGCUAGGAACGAAAUGAACAUGCGUGCGAUAAAUAGGUUAUACCCUCCGGUCAGCAACUUGGCCGUAGCAGCAGCGUUGGCGGCGGCAACAUCCUCUACCGCCUUCUUCUCAGCUUCAAGGGCGAGAUAAUCAGCCUCGGAUGGUUCAGCCAUGGUGAUGACGAGGACGACGUGGAUGUAGAGGAAGCAGACGGACGGAGGCAAGCAGCCGCUUGAUCGCUCCCCAAAAACCUAAUCGCCCCUCUCCCAUACAGGAACAUGAGAGGCGGGGUUUCGGAGGCCUGCUCUCCCGUCGACCGUGUGCACGGUGAACGGGACGGAGUUGGCGGCGCCAGCAACAACAAAGGUACGAGCGCGUGAGGCAGAGGCGAUCUGAUCUCAUGACAACUAGGGUUGGCGUUAGCCCUGCUUAUAUAGGCGGCCGGGCGGAGAGAUGUGGGCUGAACCCACGUCCGAGUCGGUAACAGCCCUGACCGACAAAAAUAAGCGCGUAGGUAUGAGCUCGGCUCGGCUCAUUCCCGCAACCCGCGGCGCGUCUAGGCGGGCGACGGAGGAGGAGUGCGCGAGGAUCUCUUCUCUUCUCACUCUUUAAUAGCAUGUAGAAGAUAGACCCUUAUAAAGGGGUCCAACUUCUCCUCCACUAGCGGGGUGGGACUAAACUUCCCACCACCACUUUGUCAUGCCACCACCUACAUGGGCCCUUGGAGAUUUCUGAAAUUCUCUUAUGGGCCUAAGGCCCACUACUAAUUUCAACAGAUAGAUGUCGGUUCUCGAGGUCAUGCCGGUGAUACUUCUGGUAGAAAGGCAAUCGAUCGGAGUUUGUGGCGUUGUUGCUGAAGAUUGCUCUUUAUCUUUCUAAUGGCGUGGAUGUGGCGGAUAUGAAGGUCGUCUGCCAAAUCUUGGAGUCCAUCUCUACUACUUUCGGCAUCGACUGGUGUUGGUGGCAGUGCGAUGUUGCUUUGCCAUCCCUUCCCCAACACCUGUAGGGUUGUUGAGUUGAGGUCAUUUGGAGUCCAUUGCAAUCUUUUAUCUUCUUUCAGGAUCCUCCUUACGUAUGUCAAAGACUUGGUUGUAAUUUUGGUUCCUUUGUGUCCUUUUGUAAGCUUUGUUCAUGUGGCAUAUCCAACUGAGCGUAAUUCAGAUGGUUAAGUUCCUUGUGUUGAAACCAUCCCAAAAAUUAAACACGGAUGCUCGCAUUCUCUAAUUUAUUAGUCUUCUUGACAAGGUGUGCGUACGUGCAUUCACACUUGGAAGACCAAUGGGCAGUUAUUUCCUUCUCAUUGUUUUGUUUCCUCACACAACAAUGGGAGAAAGAAACGAACCACACGACACACACAGAGAGACCGAAAUACCAUUAGGCAUAUCACGGCACUAGAUAACCACGACACGUAGAGACACAAACAUACCAACUGAUGUAUGUGGAAAUGAAAAGCGGUUUAGAGCGUCUACAGUCGGAUCCCUCAUAUACAUCUUAAACGAUCGGGCAGGCCAUCCGAUAGCUAAUUGGUCACAAAAUUUUGAUUCAAUCAGGCGACUCAAAGGGACCUCAAACGCUUGGGUUGUCCAGCACCCCUCAUCGGAUAUCGGGUGUCCGGGUGUGUCCGGACAUGCCCGUCAUGUCGGCUUGAUCCGUACUGACCCGCAUCGACUUCACAUAUAUUCGUCCGCAUCCGCUCACAGGACCAAACCCUAGCCACUUCACUCAACUCCCCUUCACUCCCAUAUGCCAUCCAAGUUCACCUCCAACGAUCUCCGGCCUUUUUCGACAUAGAGGGCAACGGAUCCGAGUCUUUCACCUCCAGAUCCGUCGACUAUGAACUCAUCUCACGCGGUCCCGACAUGGGCACGUGAGCCGAUCAAUGUUCCAUGUCCUACUCUACCUCGCCGACGACAGGACUGGCACUACAAGGGGCGCAGCCCGCCAGACAUGGGCACAACGGAACUGAACGAGCUCCACUUGUAUUAGGUUUACGUUACAUGUAAUAAUAUAGAUUUAAGAUUUCUAAUUUAAAAUAUUUAAUUAUAUAUUGCAUUAUUUAAGAUAUGAUCGGACAGUGUCCGCUGACACAUCCAAUGGCAUUUGAGGGAUCGGAUUUGUCAAGUACGACCAUAGCUCGUAUGCCCCGGAUGAACAUGUACAUGCACCACACGACAUGACCACCACCUGACCGCACGGGUUUGAGAAAAUAUCCUGCUUCAUCUGUCCUGAAUUAUUUGUCUUGGAUUUGUCUAGACACAUUUUAGUGUUAGAUAUGUGUGUAUCUAUAAAAAUUUAAGACAAGUAAUUUGAGACGGAGGUAAUAAUAUUCAGUGAAUUUUGGCCUAGGUGUCCUUUUGACAUGUUGCCCACUAAUUCUCCAUAGAGCAUUUAUCUGAUAAUCAUUCAUAUAUUUAUUCUCUAUUUAUAAUCCGUUAAACAUGUAGGAAAUUGCAGGUGAACCUCCACCAGUCCUAUUUCCAUAGUUGACCAUAAAUGCUUUCUUCGUUAUGUUAUGUUUUGUCCUGUGCAUGCUUGCCACCAUUAGUUUCUAGCAAAAAAUGAGAAAACUACCACAGGGCAUCCACCUCUUGUAUGAUUCUCACUCCGAUACAAAAUAAGUGUCGUGCUUUUACUUUAAAUUUAUACUAAAACCAUACCACUUAUUUUGAAUUGGAGGGAGUAUAAAACUAGAAGAAAUACUUGCAAGAGUGCUAUCUAUUUCGGCCUGGUGCACCUUUUGGGUUUGAGUCAACGCAUUGCAUCCUCUUGGACCAUCUUAUCCGGAGGUGUCUCCGAGGCCUUUUUUUUAAUAUACAUAGUAUGUGAGUAUUUGAUGCAUACUUGAUACUCGUCUAUUUAGCUAAGGAAUGAUCCCGCAAAACAAAAAGGAAAGAGCCACAAGGACUGCCGAACUGCUCGUUGUCUCUCUAUCCAUGGUUCUGGUCAGGUCACUAGUGGUCUUUCAACAAGUUUCGUUGUUCGCUUGUAUAUUUUAAAAGAUGUAGCAAAGGAUUGUUGUGAGUUUUUCUGAAGUAAAUCUACUGACAUUUUUUCAUUUGACCAAUCACAAUGUACUUUUGAAAUAUCGAUGGUCAAAGUUGAGUGGUACUCAAAACUAUAUUUCAAAUGAUAGUUCACUAAAAUGUGUGAGUUACCCUGCUAGUUUAAUUUAAUCAGAACAAAAGAAUGGUCCAGUUUAUGGGUCCGCUACAGUUAUGCAAAGGUUCUAAAACAACUGUAUCCUUAUAUUCUAAUGGGGAUGUUAGUUUUAAACUAUAGCUAGCUGUCAAAGAGUAAUUAACAAUAUUCCAUUCUGAUCAAUCAUUCGAGCCGCCCUCGCGCCAAUCAUUGACCAUGAUUACUGUUGGUCCCUAGUGACCUUUCUUUUGCUUCCUAAUGAUGGCACAUGCCAACUUAAACCAUAAAACCUAACUAGCAUACUCAUCUUUAUUAUCAUGCCUCCAGUUAAUGGAUUCCAUGAUGCACUCCUACUGGUUAGGGAGAAUGUACCAACAUUUUAUCGCGCAUUGUUAAUAUUUCAAAGUACGAUCAAGGCUGGGGUGGCGUCGAGUAAUGAGGCCAUGCUCUGGUUGCUUGGCCAAAAGCAAGUGGUUUCUUUGGCCUACAGCAAUGAAAAAAAUGUGCCAAUUGCAUUUAAACAAUCUUGCAAAAUGAUCACGCAAUUAUCGUAUCAAUCAUCAUAAGAGAGAUAAGAAUAUGCCCUACCGGUACGCCAUGUUACUUUGAGUGGUAUUUGUUGGCCUCCUAGUUUGUGCUCUCGCAAAAAAAGUUUUGUGUUGUGGUGGCCCUUAUAUGAGCUACUCCGUUCUUAUGAGUACAUUCUUAUAUGAAAUACUUAAAAGUCCAUGUAUUCGACUAGAAAUCAUCCUUGGGACAUUUGUUUCGUUCAUCGGAUGUUUCAACUCUCCGUUUAGAAAUAUAAAGCGCCUAUACUGAAUUUCUAAUUUUAGUAGAACAUUCACAUGGAGAAAACAACUCCAAUUCUUUCACAAUGUUUCUAUUAGGCAGAGCUGGCAAUGUUUUUCAAAAAUGUGUUGCAUAAUGCCUCCAAAAUAAGUCUAUUUUAGUGAAUAUGAUGUACCUAAAAUUUGGUGGACUUCCACAAUCUGGAUGAUUCGUGAGAUAAUAACCUAUAACUAUGAGUUUUUUUCACGGUGAAACUACUGAACUUUCCCACGGUGAGAAGUAACCUCUAUUAGCUCAAGAUAGCUACACUAGCGAUCAAUAUAAUUUGUUGUAGAAACACCAAUUAUAAAUCUAAGGCCUCCUUUGGUUUGUAGGAAUUCUAGACGAUACGAUUCCUAUAAGGAAAAAAAAUAUCUUUAGAGCGAUUUCGUUUGUAGGCAACAGUUCCUACUCCUAUUUAGAAUUGGUUUCUAUCGUUCAUGUUUCUAAAAUUAAAAAUAAUAGCUCGGACAUAAUGAAAAAAAUUGUAUCAUAUGAAAAAUAAAAUCACUUUUCCUAUAUGAACUGAGAUACAUGCCACCUCAGUUUCUAUAUUUUUCCUAUUCCUAUGAUGUUUCUAUCCUAUCAAGAGUAAACAAAAUAUUGACAAGACAAAUAUGAACAUCCAUUUCAACAUUGUCAGUUUAUACACUAGUUCUCGUAAUUCUGAAUUGUCGACUGCAAGACCUCGGAUAUCUUACACAUAAUAUUUAGUUCCAAUUUAUCUUAGAGUUUGAAUGAUAUGUCUUCCUCGGCCGCCUCCGACUGUUCCGCCUCUACUUCAGGCCCCGUCGCCUCUUCAUUUGUCUGUCGCACUGUUAAGUUGGGGUGCCAUCACGAAAAAUAAAGCCUUCACCAGAGGGACACUUACUACCUCUCGCUUGUUGCCAUUGGUCAUCACCCUCUCUCCAUUGAACCAUCGCCCCUCCCCUCCCCCCCCCUUCCCCUUCAUGUUAUCCUUUUAUGCCAUAGCCCAAAUUUCAAUGAGAAUUCCAUAAAAUCGGUUAUUUGGUGGAUACUAAAAUAUUUCCGAACUAUAUUUUUUGGGCCGCAUUCAAAUUAACUUCAAACCAAAUUUAAAUUACAUAAAAAAUAUAUUAUGUAAGCUUUGGCAAAUCAGGUUGGAGAAAAUAUCUUGAAAUAUCAUAUAUUACAAUGAUGUCUAAUAUAUUUAUGUUACCGAAAUUUAAACCUUUCCCCGGUUUUCCCACGCAAUUACCUUGUUCAUCCUGGUCUUCCUCGUCCUGCAGCCCAUCACUCCUGCAUCAGACAUGAACAAAGGUGCCUCAGCGCCAUAACCAUAAGACCAAACUUCUAAUAUUCACCCCUUAAAGCAUCUCCAACAGCCGCGCUAAAAAAAACACUCUUUUCCACGUGCACAGCCGUUCCGGGCUCUCCAGUGGAGGCGCAAAAAACGCGCACGUGGCAUAAAUUGUUCAGCGCGUGGGACGAAACGGCAUCGUUCGUCGCUUAUUUCGAGCACCCACUCCCACACUCUGGACAGCGACGAUUCGCAGGCGGCUUCCACCCAGCACUAGACCCAAGCACUGGUGUCGCCGCCCGCGCCAUGCCAUUUGCUCCGGCGACUCGACGACGCUUUCCCGGCCUAUCCCGCACCGCCGCGGCUUUCUCCGUCUCCCUCUACCCGCCGCCGCCCCUCGCGUGCGCCCUUCCCCCGACGAACAACGUCCGGCCGCCUACUGUCGCUCGACGCCCACAAGGUGUUCGCAUGCAGUCAGAAUUGUACAAGUGUUUGGCCCAGAGUAUUUGAGAUCUUUCAAUGUUGAAUACGUCGCAAGGCUAUUGGAGAUGAACAAAGCUCGUAGGUUUCCAGUUAUGUUUGGCUCAAUAGAUUGCAUGCAUUGGAGUUGAAAGAGUUGUCCUAAGGCAUGGCAUGGACAAUUCCACGGCCAGAAACAUGAUUUCACUAUAAUCCUUGAAGCGGUGGCCGAUCAAGAGACUUGGAUUUGACAUGCUUUUUUGGAAAUGCCUGGAUCUUUGAAUGACAUCAACACUGUUAGUCGGUCACCACUUAUAAAUAAGAUUGCAAAUGAUGAACUGCCACCGGUGGAGUUUGUAGCAAAUAGUCAUACAUACAACUAUGACUACUAUCUUGCGGAUGGCAUCUACCCAAAGUGGCAAACAUUUGUGAAGCCGUUGAAAAAACCGGAAGGUAAGAAAAAUCUAGAUUUUCACGAUGGUCAGGCGGCGGCUCGGAAAGAUGUGGAGAGAGCUUUUAGAAUUUUGCAAGCUCAAUUUUCUAUUGUGAGAGGACCGGUGAUACAUCAUCCACACUUGUGUGAUCAUGCAUAACAUGAUCAUCGCGAAUGAGCGUGACCAAAAUUUAGACUACUCUCAGUAUGAGUUAUUGGGACAUCCCACGCGAGUGCGUCAGAGUGCUGCUCGGGUGGCCCGAUUUGUUGCCUCUUAUCAUGUCAUUCGACGUCCCCAAACGCAUAUAAUCUUCAGAAGGAUCUAAUCGAAGAGUGGUGGACAUGGAAUGAUCGAAUAAAUGAAUGAUGAUUUGUAUAUUUGAUUUGAUGUUGUAGUCUCGAACUAUUAUUGUAUUGGAAAAUAAACUAUGUGUCAAUAAUUGAAUUAUUAAUUGUUGAUAAUUUUUUACGUGUAUGUUUCGUCAUAUGUUACUUGUGUUGGACGCGCACGCCCCGUUUUUUUAGACGCUGGAGCGGCUCGUGCCGGCAAUUUUUUGUGACAGCCGCUAGAACCAGCACUUCCCCGGGGCGUUAAAAAUCAUAGUUUCGACGCUUCAAAAUGUUUUUAGCGCGUACCGAUUACGUGGCUGUCGGAGAUGCUCUUAGAUUACUAUUGCAGCCAUAAGAUCAUGCAGACAUGAAGAUCAAAAAUAAUAGUGGGCGUUACCUCCCAAAAAUAAUAAUAGGGGCGUCAGACCCGCGUGCAAUGCAUACAUGGAGAUGAGAGCGCGGAGCUAAGCUAAGCUAAGCUAAAUUAUAUGCAUGCGUGGCAUAGUUAUAAUGCUGGUAGCAGAAAGCAUGCGUCAAAAGGGAAUCGAUCAAGGCCGUAGGCGCCGCUCGGUCGUUGCCGCGCCAUUUUUCUUAUGCUGCUCCGAUCCAACUUGCAUGCCCUCCAUCGCCCGGCACGGUUCCUCCCCAUGUGCCAGCGCUCAAUAAUGGAACCUCGUCCGCGCCUAUAUAUGCCUCCGCCCGCAGGCUCGCUUGCUCCCCAUGCUUCCCACAGCCCACAGCUCACUCACUAGCUCGUCUGUCACCGGCCGGUUGGUUGGUUAACUUCGCUGCCACCUUAGCUCACAGCUCACAUGGGCCUCGACGUGCUCACGGCGAGGGACCAGCCGUCGAGGUGCCGGUACCAGCGGCUCCGCGGCGAGCUCUGCAACGACGACGACGGCGGAGACGAGGAGGUGGUGGCGUCGGCGUCGGCCGCCAGGUGGGCGAGGGCGNCGCGCUCUCCCACUCCGCCGGCGGCGGCGCCAGCCGCACCGCCAGGCUGCGCGCUUUCUACCUCGAGAGGAGCCUCUCCGCCGGCGGCUCCCCCUGCUGACCGUCUCAACUACGUACACGCCAUUGACAGCGCGCGUGCAGCUGGUCAUCAACUCAUCAUGCAUGAGCAUGAGCAUGAGCAUGGGCCAUGAGCUAGCAAAUCGUGUUCCCGAUACUGUAAUCAUGCGUUGCAUGUAAGGCUCCUGUUCCUGUAGCUGACUGGCUGAGUCACGCGUGCACAUGGCUUGGCAACAAGAAUGUCGCCGGCUCGCUGUAGCUGUACUGCCGAAUGCUUUUGCGUACGUUAAUUGAGGCAACUUGCGAUUCGUUUUUUGGAGGGGGGGAAAUGCAUGAGACCGUGCUGUGUACGUGCUGCACUGCUGCUGGCUUUAACUUGUUUGGUUGACAUUCGGUGAAAUCGUCGAUCCAUGAGCAGGAAACCAAGGAUGUACAGAGCAAGCACACCACGACACAAUUACGUCACGUAAGGGAUGGCUUUUAUCACCUCUCUCUCCUCUCCCAGGCCGCACGCCGACUCCGGGCCUCGCCGCCGGCGACACCCAGCGCGUCGGAGGGGGUGAUCGUGGGUCGCGUCCAUGUGCUGCUGCACGGUUGCCGUGUAUCGCAGCGGUCGUCGACCCCGGGGUUCUCGGGCCUAGGCACGGGUCACAGUCUAUGGCUGGACCUGGGUGCGAG